rnacentral:tRNA from 6 species
GGGGCCGUAGCUCAGUUGGUAGAGCGCCUCGUUCGCAAUGAGGAGGUCAGCGGUUCGAUUCCGCUCGGCUCCACCA